rnacentral:rRNA from 1 species
AUUGAACGCUGGCGGCAGGCCUAACACAUGCAAGUCGAACGAGUGGCGGACGGGUGAGUAAUGUCUGGGAAACUGCCUGAUGGAGGGGGAUAACUAUUGGAAACGGUAGCUAAUACCGCAUACCAUCAGAUGUGCCCAGAUGGGUUUGGCUUGUUGGUGGGGUAACGGCUAACCAAGGCGACGAUCCCUAGCUGGUCUGAGAGGAUGACCACCCACCCUGGAACUGAGACACGGUCCGGACUCCUACGGGAGGCAGCAGUGGGGACGAUGGCACAAUGGGCGCAAGCCUGAUGCAGCCAUGCCGCGGGUAUGAAGAAGGCCUUCGGUUUGUAAAGUACUUUCAGCGGGGAGGCGUUACCCGCAGAAGAAGCACCGGCUAACUCCGUGCCAGCAGCCGCGGUAAUUC